GACCUCCUUAGAAUCCCACGUAAUCUCCUUAUACUCUUUUUUCUCUUCUUCCGUCAAAUUACGAUCAGCGCCCAUGAGUUCGUCCAGCAUAGCUCGCUGCAGGUCCAUGGCUGACAAUGGAAGCUUUCAAAGGAAAUGAGGUUAUGAAGACAAGAAGCAGUGGUUAUGAACUUAAAUAGAAAUUUGCGUGGUGCCUUUGAUAGAGAAUAAGCUAGGGUUUAGAAUGUUGGAGAUUUUGGUUAGGGCUAGGGUUUGGUUCUCAGGCGCAGGGAGAGGCGACAGGCUAAGGGUGAGCUGGAGCAGUAUUGCGUAGUCCCUAGGAGGAGUUCGGCUUGAUGGUUGCUUCCGGCUCAUGAACAGAAUUUUCCCACGCUAGCGCAACGGGUAUCAAAUUUGUGGCCCGUGCUAACGACACAUUCAUUCAGUCAGCAACCCCUUGAUCUUCUUCUUCUUUGAUU
rnacentral:misc_RNA from 1 species